rnacentral:rRNA from 1 species
CAAGCGGUGGAUGAUGUUCUUUAAUUCGAUGCAACGCGAAAAACCUUACCCACCUUUGACAUGUACGGAAUCCUUUAGAGAUAGAGGAGUGCUCGAAAGAGAGCCGUAACACAGGUGCUGCAUGGCUGUCGUCAGCUCGUGUCGUGAGAUGUUGGGUUAAGUCCCGCAACGAGCGCAACCCUUGCCAUUAGUUGCUACGAAAGGGCACUCUAAUGGGACUGCCGGUGACAAACCGGAGGAAGGUGGGGAUGACGUCAAGUCCUCAUGGCCCUUAUAGGUGGGGCUAGAAACGUCAUGCAAUGGCCGGUACAAAGGGUCGCUAAGCCGCGAGGUGGAGCCAAUCCCAUAAAGCCGGUCGUAGUCCGGAUCGCAGUCUGCAACUCGACUGCGUGAAGUCGGAAUCGCUAGUAAUCGUGGAUCAGCAUGUCACGGUGAAUACGUUCCCGGGUCUUGUACACACCGCCCGUCACACCAUGGGAGCGGGUCUCGCCAGAAGUAGGUAGCCUAACCGCAAGGAGGGCGCUUACCACGGCGGGGUUCGUGACUGGGGUGAAGUCGUAACAAGGUAGCCGUAUCGGAAGGUGCGGCUGGAUCACCUCCUU